AAGGAACUAGAGUCCCAGACACAAGCUUGACAUUCACCUUCCAGCACCAUGACUGAGGCUGCCGGAAUAGUGGCAGAAGCAAGUGAGAAGUAAGUGAGAAGGUGCAGAGGAUGGAUGUGAAGCAAAACCAUUUAUCUGGCCAUGGUAGAUUUGCCACGGCAGGGAGCCUGGCAGGAGAGGGGUCUUCAGUCAUCAGUUUCUCACUAAUUCUUGGAACCAGAGCCUCCCUGGCAUAAUGGCAAGGAAGACAAGAUUGAUUUUAUGCCCAAAAAUGUCAGAGCUGGAAGGGAACUUCCAAUGUUCUAGUCCAGUCAUUCUCAAGCUUUUUUUUUUUUUUUUUGGUACCAGGGAUUGAACUCAGAACAUUGCACUUGUGAGGCAGGCAUGGUGCCACUGAGCUAAAUCCCUGGCUUUCUCAAGCAUUUUUAAAGUUAUAGAACACAUCUUUAAAGCAAUCUCACCCCUGGAAAUCAAGUGAGGAAACUGGGGCCUGAAAAUGAGAGAGACCUGUCCCUAACCUUAUGCCUACCUAGGGGCAAAGUCAGUUCCCAGAGUCAGUACCCAUGCCCCAGGGCAAUGCCCUCUGCCAAAGCACAGUUUCUGGACUCUGCACAGCUCCACACCCUCCUUUAAGAUUCCUUCUCCAUCCUUAUGCAGGUAAAACAGAAGGAGCCAUUGUACUCAGAGUCCCAGGGGACAGUGGGAUGUAGACUGCACUGAGCUUCUGUAUCCUCUGAGCCUCCUUCAACAGAGCAGAGAAGAGUGGUCCCUCUUACAUGGCCCCAGGCACUAUGCAGUGGAGGAACCAUGUCAGUUCUGCUUUGGUAGAACAUGGUAGAAUUACUGGGGGUGCCCAAGGAGACAUGAGGUAGUCUGAGGAUGUGUAUCCAGUGGAAACCCAAUCACAUCUAGGUGUCUAGGUCCUAAUAGGAAGCAAAUGACAUCUGAAACAAAGCAUCUUAUGUCCUUAUAUAAUGAAGGGCCAGUUACAAAUGUCUGGGCAGGGCUGAAGGAACUUGUAAAGGUUGGCAGAGCAUCACAGGCUUCACCUCUCCCAGACCUGAGGGCUGUCCUGAAAGGGACUAGGAAGUCAGUUGCCUGCUGAGGGCCACACCCUCCUGAAGGAAAAUGCAACCAUUCACUGCAGGGAGGGAACAGAAACAGGUACCUGUCCUCACUUUCCUCCAGUUCUGCCCCCAUGCGCACCAGGAGCCAGGGCAAAGUAGCCUGGAUGACGUAGUUCACCCAGGUAAAUGUCAGCAUUGCAGGAAAAGAAGUAUGGCAGCAGAGGGUGAAGAAAACAUCUGCAGGAUGUCUCACUCUGUUUAAUGCUGCUGUAACAGAAUACCAUUCAUUUUUAAAGAAUAGAAAGUUACUCAGAGUCUGGAGGCUGGGAAGUCCAAUAUUAAGGUGUUGGCAUCUGGUGAGGGCUUCUUACUGGAUCAAAACCUGGUGGAAAGCAGAAUGGUGAGAGAGGAAGAAGGAGAAAGGAUUGGUGGGGAGUGUGCACUAGAAGGUGGGAACCCACCCACAGGACAAUGAUAAUGACAAAGUCCAUUCAUGAGGGCAGAACUCUCCUGACCUGAACACUUCUUAAAGGUCCCAGCUCAUUAUAUAGUUACAAGGGUAAUUAAGUCAAAUUUCAACAUGAGUUUCAGGAACCCACAUUCAAACCGCAGAAAGGGGUAAGCAGAAGAUGUCUAACACACAUCACCCAGGGGAAGCAGCAGGCCUCAGAAAGAGCUAAUUCUGCAGCUCUGAGCACACACCAGCCACUCCCAGAAGUUUUCAUGGAACACAGGAACUUUGCAAGAGCUGAUGUAGGAAAGACUUUUAAAAAUAAGGUCAUGAAUGUGACCUCAUUUAUACCUAUUAAUGCCUGGGGAAACUCAGUACACUUCCUUCCUAGAGCCCUGCUCCUGUGGGGUUGGCAGUGGAGGAAAAAUUGCUUGUUGGAAGGGGGGGGGGCUCCCCAGAGGUCCCUUUGCCCUUGGGGUGCUCUUUACCAGCAGCACUCUGGCUACCAUGGCAACUGGUGGGGCUUGGCUUCCUCUUUGCCUCUCACACUUGCAUUACUGCAUGAAUCACAACACUAACUACACCCUGAGUGACAACAGACACAGUAAAAACAUAGUCUCCCAAAAGACUGCCCUCACAUGAGAUGUUACCUCAACUUUGGGAGUCUUCCAACCAUUGGUACUCAUCACCUAGCUACAAAUGUAAGGUUUCCUCCAUCCUCUUAUCCCAUUUAAUUUGUUAAAAUAACUCAUAGAAUUCAGGAGAGCACUAUACUGGUGAUUUCAAUUUUAUCAUAAAGAAUGUAGAGUUUCUGUGUCCUCUCCACAUAAAUCCAGGAAACAUCACCUCCCAGAACAUGAGUAUUAUCACCAGCUAAGAGGUUCACCCGAGCCUUGGUGUCCAAAAUUUUUAUCAGGGCUCCAUGACAUAGACGUGAGUGAGUGAAUGAUUGGCUGCUUUAUUGAAUUCCAUCUCCAGCCCCCCACCCUUGAGACUAAUAUCACAUAGUUCAAAAUCCCAGCCUUCUAAUGGUUCAUCUUUCUGGCAUGGCAGCUGCUGUCUUUGAGUCACCUCAUUAGUAUAAACUCAGAAAUGGUCUCAGGGACUCACCAUGAAUAACAAAGACACUCCCACCACUCAGUGAAUUCCAAGGGUGUAGAAGCUUUGUCCCAGGAAUCCUGGACAAAGACCAGACAAGUUCUUAGCCUGGCUGUUACAAGGCAGAAAUAUUUCAGCUGGACCCAACCAAAGGUUAGCCCUGCGAUGGCUGGGGGUUUCCUUGGUCCCCAGCUGCUGUCUUUGCAGUAGCUGUCUGGAGGGCUGUGCAGAGGUUUCAAAGGCUACUUCCAGGACCAACUCGAAGGAGUGGCAUGAUUAACAAGUCAUGCUGGCUCUGGCACAGGAGAAGCUAAGAAGGAACAUGUGUGUUCUGUACUCACUAACCCUGACCUAAGAGAUUUUAAAGAAGGCAAUAAAAUUGUACUGCUGAGUUAUAAAAAUUACUAUGCUGUUUACAAAUGAGGGUG
ensembl:lncRNA